rnacentral:rRNA from 1 species
AUUGAACGCUGGCGGAAUGCUUUACACAUGCAAGUCGAACGGCAGCACGGACUUCGGUCUGGUGGCGAGUGGCGAACGGGUGAGUAAUGUAUCGGAACGUGCCCAGUCGUGGGGGAUAACGUAGUGAAAAUUACGCUAAUACCGCAUACGAUCUAUGGAUGAAAGCGGGGGAUCGCAAGACAUCGCGCGAUUGGAGCGGCCGAUAUCAGAUUAGGUAGGUGGUGGGGUAAAGGCCCACCAAGCCAACGAUCAGUAGCUGGUCUGAGAGGACGACCAGCCACACUGGAACUGAGACACGGUCCAGACUCCUACGGGAGGCAGCAGUGGGGAAUUUUGGACAAUGGGCGAAAGCCUGAUCCAGCCAGUCCGCGUGCAGGAUGAAGGCCCUCGGGUUGUAAACUGCUUUUGUACAGAACGAAAAGGUUUCUACUAAUACUAGGAGCUCAUGACGGUACUGUAAGAAUAAGCACCGGCUAACUACGUGCCAGCCGCCGCCGUAA